GCACCACUGCACUCCAGCCUGGCUAGCAGAGUGAGACUCUUUCUCUAAAAAAAAAUGUAUCUUGCUCCUCCGCCGCCCAAGAUGCCGAAAGGAAAGAAGGCCAAGGGCAAGAAGGUGGCUCUGGCCCCUGCUGUCGUGAAAAAGCAGGAGGCCAAGAAAGUGGUGAAUCCCCUGUUUGAGAAAAGGCCUAAGAAUUUUGGCAUUGGACAGGACAUCCAGCCCAAAAGAGACCUCACCCGCUUUGUGAAAUGGCCCCGCUCUAUCAGGUUGCAGCGGCAGAGAGCCAUCCUCUAUAAGCGACUGGAAGUGCCUCCUGCAAUUAACCAGUUCACCCAGGCCCUGGACCGCCAGACAGCUACUCAGCUGCUUAAGCUGGCCCACAAGUACAGACCAGAGAUAAAGCAAGAGAAGAAGCAGAGGCUGUUGGCCCGGGCCGAGAAGAAAGCUGCUGGCAAAGGGGAUGUCCCCACUAAGAGACCACCUGUCUUUCGAGCAGGAGUUAACACCGUCACCACCUUGGUGGAGAACAAGAAGGCUCAGCUGGCGGUGAUUGCACACGACGUGGAUCCCAUCGAGCUGGUUGUCUUCUUGCCUGCCCUGUGUCGUAAAAUGGGGGUCCCUUACUGCAUUAUCAAGGGGAAGGCAAGACUGGGACGUCUAGUCCACAGGAAGACCUGGACCACUGUCGCCUUUACACAAGUGAACUCGGAAGACAAAGGCGCUUUGGCUAAGCUGGUAGAAGUUAUCAGGACCAAUUACAACGACAGAUACGAUGAUAUCCAUCGUCACUGGGGCGGCAAUGUCUUGGGUCCCAAGUCUGUGGCUUGUAUCGCCAAGCUCAAAAAGGCAAAAGCUAAAGAAGUUGCCACUAAACUGGGUUAAAUGUACACUGUUGAGUUUUCUGUGCAUAAAAAUAAUUA